UGACACAGCGACGCCGCGUGGGGGAUGAAGGCCUCGGGUUGUAAACCCUUUUCUCAGGGAAGAAUAAUGACGGUACCUGGGGAAUAAGUCUUGGCUAACUACGUGCCAGCAGCCGCGGUAAUACGUAGGAGGCGAGCGUUAUCCGGAUUUACUGGGCGUAAAGAGGGCGUAGGCAGUUUUUCAAGUCGAUUGUAAAAUCUCCCGGCUUAACUGGGAGGGGCCAGUCGAUACUGUUAGACUAGAGAGCAGCAGGGGGAGGUGGAAUUCCCGGUGUAGUGGUGAAAUGUGUAGAUAUCGGGAGGAACACCAGUGGCGAAGGCGGCCUCCUAGGCUGUUUCUGACGCUGAGGUCCGAAAGCGUGGGGAGCAAACAGGAUCAGAUACCCUGGUAGUCCACGCUGUAAACAAUGGACACUAGGUAUAGGGAGUAUCGACCCUCUCUGUGCCGAAGCUAACGCAUUAAGUGUCCCGCCUGG
rnacentral:rRNA from 2 species